GGGCCCGUGGCGCAGCCCGGACAGCGCGGCAACAACCUCAAGAGCUGACGGUCGCGGGUUCGAAUCCCGCCGGGCCCGCCA
rnacentral:tRNA from 1 species